CAAAUAUGUUCUCCCACAGAACAGGGCCCGACAGGAUGUUUCAGUCUACAAAUGUUUAAACAAAAGGUCAUCAAUCAGUAAGAAGGGGGCAAUUUGUUCUGAACAUGGCCUUUCCAGUAAAUGCAGGUUCUGCACAGCCUGCACUGCAUGAAGCACUCACGAUCUCCUACGGUGGCAUCCCCGAUGACAUCACUUGCACAGAGGAGGACUAGUAGACAUCUCACAGGAACACUGCAGGUGUUAAUUAAAAAUGCUCAGAAGAUGCAUGGAAACAUUCGGGCUGAAAAAAUGUAAGAUAGGGCGAAAUCAUAGCAUGAAGUUGCCAGCUUCCAGAGAGCCAGAAGGUGAAGCUGUGCAUUGGUUCCAGCGCUCGGAGGCGAAGGCUGCCAGCAGUGAGCACAGUCUGCUCAGACGUCUGAAGCUUUACCAGAGCUCUUCGUGGUGUGGUUUGGCAAUAGGUACCACUAAAUCAGAGACAUGGACAUCGAUACAGUUGGCUCCAUAAUUGCAAACAGCCGUAAAUCCAUUUAAGCUAAUCCAUGUACCAACUGAAAUAAAAUCUGUAAUCUCC
rnacentral:lncRNA from 1 species